AUCUUAGUGCAAGGGUAUUACGCAUAGCAGUGAGAGCCGCGCUCGAGCUUGCGUUUUUGCUAGUUGAAAACUACUCCCUGACCACUCCUACCAUUCAAGACAAUUUGGUAGGGAAUCUUUGGAACACAAAUUUU
rnacentral:snRNA from 1 species